rnacentral:tRNA from 1 species
AAGUAGAGUAAGCUAAAACAUAAGCCUUUGGGCUCAUACUCCAAAAAUGGAAGGAUAAAAACCUCCCUCUACUUU